GAUGAACGCUAGCGGCAGGCUUAACACAUGCAAGUCGAGGGGCAACACGGGUAGCAAUACCUGGUGGCGACCGGCGCAAGGGUGCGUAACGCGUGAGCAACAUGCCCUAUACAGGGGGAUAAUCCAGGGAAACUUGGUCUAAUAUCCCAUAGUAUUUAGAGGAGGCAUCUUCUAUAAAUUAAAGCUUCGGUGGUAUAGGAUUGGCUCGCGUGACAUUAGCUAGAUGGUGAGGUAACGGCUCACCAUGGCAAUGAUGUCUAGGGGUUCUGAGAGGAAGGCCCCCCACACUGGGACUGAGACACGGCCCAGACUCCUACGGGAGGCAGCAGUGAGGAAUAUUGGACAAUGGAUGGAAAUCUGAUCCAGCCAUGCCGCGUGCAGGAAGACAGCCCUAUGGGUUGUAAACUGCUUUUAUAUGGGAGCAAUAAGGUCUACGUGUAGACUGAUGAGAGUACCAUAUGAAUAAGCAUCGG
rnacentral:rRNA from 1 species